rnacentral:rRNA from 1 species
UAUGGUAAUUGUGUGCCAGAAGAAGAGGUAAUACGUAGGGGGCAAGCGUUAUCCGGAUUUACUGGGUGUAAAGGGAGCGUAGACGGCAAGGCAAGUCUGAUGUGAAAACCCAGGGCUUAACCCUGGGACUGCAUUGGAAACUGUCUGGCUCGAGUGCCGGAGAGGUAAGCGGAAUUCCUAGUGUAGCGGUGAAAUGCGUAGAUAUUAGGAAGAACACCAGUGGCGAAGGCGGCUUACUGGACGGUAACUGACGUUGAGGCUCGAAAGCGUGGGGAGCAAACAGG